rnacentral:snoRNA from 1 species
UGGUCAUUACCAAGGCUUUGAGAAUUCAGUUUCUUAUUUGCUGUGGACAUGACCAUAAAAAAAUUCCCAAUAGGUUUUCUAUGUGCUGCUUGGUUAGCAGUUAACCUGUUGGGGACAUUU